AGCAGCAUACAGGAGAGAGGAGCUCCGCUGUGCUCUGGAGCCUGCUUGACUAUUAUCCAAAGGUAAAAACAUAAUUUGGACUGGACCAGGUCAUAGGAAAAGAAAGGUCAUACUUCACCAAUGCGUUUAGAGGAUUUGAAGAGGCAGAGCCUGCAUCGUAAAUAAACACAUCAGCAAUAAACAUAUGGCACAUGACUGAGAGACUUUAAUGAUCCUAAUGUCGCAAACAUUGCCUGGAGGAAGAGGAGGAGAGGCUGCAGAGGGCACAGCCUGAUGAAGGAAUGCCCAUAAGAAGUCUACAGGAGGCAUCAGACAGCAACAUGAGCAACCCAGAGUGUUCUCCUACCUGAAAUGCUCCACAAAAAACCUGCACAAAGAGUUAAAUUUUCUUCCACUUCGUUCCCAUCUUCCUUUUUUUCUGCAAUAUUUUAAAAGGUAUGAAUGAAGUGCAAACAUGUUUAAGAUGUGCUAUAUUUGCCGAUCAUUUUUGAAGCCAGU
rnacentral:lncRNA from 1 species